rnacentral:lncRNA from 1 species
CGUUUUAGAAAAUAGUUUGUAAUAAUAAUAUUCAAUGGAAUAAAUGUGAUUAAUUUAGCUGGAAAUCUUCAGGAAAGAGGAGUAUUAUUCUCUGAGUGAACAUAAAUCCGACAGAUGGCGCUCUCCGCUUAUAAAACCGACACUGAACAAGAAACAAACGAUAUAUAUAAAUGCGAAAGUCCUUCAGGCUCUGCAGCGAAACGCUGAGGUGAUUGGAAGACAGGAAGAGGAUCUGAGCGCUUCCUCUUUACUCUCAGAGUUUCAUCAGGACAAAUACCCAGAAGGAGGAUAGAGGGACUGUAAACUGUCCGAACGGACCGUGAGAAAACAGGAAGUGCUCCUGAGCGCAAGAGAAAGCGAGAUGAAAUCUAUUUACAGGGCUUUUUCUCUGGGGAAGACGGAGCCAUUGUUACACAGCGAGUUUGUGCAGCGAUAUCCUUCCUAUAGACGAGGAGACACUCAACUGCCAAAAAACGUAUCUGGUCAUCGUUCGGACCAGCCCAAGACGUCCACCAUACUGCUGCCUGACCUUUGACCUCCACGACACAACAAACCGAAAGUGUUUUCUCCGUACGUCUGUGUGCAGCACACGGUGCAGACGCAGCCGGCUGAGGUCGAUCAUUUCUGGCGUGAAUCGGUGAGGAUGAGGAAAUACAGGAUGAUGAGGAGGAAGAAGAGCCAGAUCUACACUUCUGCUGCUCGCGUCUUCUGAACGCUUGCUCUCCGACGAGUCCAUGAUCACGAUUUCUGGAUCAUCAGACUAUCAUCUCCAUCAGCUGUGGAGGAGAACAACAUGGAGAGCA